GUAGGGAAUCUUCCACAAUGGACGCAAGUCUGAUGGAGCAACGCCGCGUGAGUGAAGAAGGUCUUCGGAUCGUAAAGCUCUGUUGUUGGUGAAGAAGGAUAGAGGCAGUAACUGGUCUUUAUUUGACGGUAAUCAACCAGAAAGUCACGGCUAACUACGUGCCAGCAGCCGCGGUAAUACGUAGGUGGCAAGCGUUGUCCGGAUUUAUUGGGCGUAAAGCGAGCGCAGGCGGAAUGAUAAGUCUGAUGUGAAAGCCCACGGCUCAACCGUGGAACUGCAUCGGAAACUGUCAUUCUUGAGUGCAGAAGAGGAGAGUGGAACUCCAUGUGUAGCGGUGGAAUGCGUAGAUAUAUGGAAGAACACCAGUGGCGAAGGCGGCUCUCUGGUCUGCAACUGACGCUGAGGCUCGAAAGCAUGGGUAGCGA
rnacentral:rRNA from 1 species